rnacentral:rRNA from 1 species
UACGUAGGGAGCAAGCGUUGUUCGGAAUUACUGGGCGUAAAGGGCUCGUAGGCGGCCAACUAAGUCAGACGUGAAAUCCCUCGGCUUAACCGGGGAACUGCAUCUGAUACUGGAUGGCUUGAGUUCGGGAGAGGGAUGCGGAAUUCCAGGUGUAGCGGUGAAAUGCGUAGAUAUCUGGAGGAACACCGGUGGCGAAGGCGGCAUCCUGGACCGACACUGACGCUGAGGAGCGAAAGCCAGGGGAGCAAACGGG